rnacentral:rRNA from 1 species
AACGCUAGCUACAGGCUUAACACAUGCAAGUCGAACGGAUUCUGGAUUCGUCUGGAAUUAGUGGCAAACGGGUGAGUAACACGUAUCCAACCACCCUGCGACUCGGGGAUAGCCUCGUGAAAGGGAGAUUAAUAUCCGAUGUACUGUUUUUGGUGCAUGCCAUUUUCAGUAAAGUUUUUUACGGUCGCUGACGGGGAUGCGUUCCAUUAGAUAGUCGGUGUGGUAACGGCUCACCGAGUCUAUGAUGGAUAGGGGUUCUGAGAGGAAGGUCCCCCACAUUGGAACUGCGACACGGUCCAAACUCCUACGGGAGGCAGCAGUGAGGAAUAUUGGUCAAUGGGCGAAAGCCUGAACCAGCUAUGUAGCGUGAAGGAUGACUGCCCUAUGGGUUGUAAACUUCUUUUGUUCGGGAAUAACAGACUUCACUUGUGGAGUUUUGCAUGUACCGUUCGAAUAAGGAUCGGCUAACUCCGUGCCAGCAGCCGCGGUAAUACGGAGGAUCCUAGCGUUAUUCGGAUUUAUUGGGUUUAAAGGGAGCGUAGGCGGGGGGUCAAGUUAGCUGUGAAAUACGUACGCUUAACGUUCGUCUUGCAGUUGAAACUGGUUUUCUUGAGUGCGUAUGAGGCAGGCGGAAUUCGUGGUGUAGCGGUGAAAUGCUUAGAUAUCACGAAGAACUCCGAUUG